GCCCUUAUAGCUCAGCUGGUAGAGCGCAUUCUUGGUAAGAAUGAGGUCAUCGGUUCAAAUCCGAUUGAGGGCU
rnacentral:tRNA from 1 species